CCUGAGAAACGGCUACCACAUCCAAGGAAGGCAGCAGGCACGCAAAUUACCCACUCCCGGCACGGGGAGGUAGUGACAAAAAAUAACGAUACGGGACUCAUCCGAGGCCCCGUAAUCGGAAUGAGAACACUUUAAAUCCUUUAACGAGGAUCUAUUGGAGGGCAAGUCUGGUGCCAGCAGCCGCGGUAAUUCCAGCUCCAAUAGCGUAUAUUAAAGUUGUUGCGGUUAAAAAGCUCGUAGUUGGUUCUGCGUGCCAUGCUGUUGGUUCACCGCCUGUCGGUGUAACUGGCAUGUUAUGGCAUGUCCUGUCGGUGGUGAAUGAGGUCCCGCUGUUCGCACUGCACAACCGGUUAAUAACCGGAUGUAGGUUGUCGUUCAGCGGUGUACCUUGUUUGCCUACUUUAAUCCUAUCGCGGUGCUCUUUACCGAGUGUCGAGAUAGGCCGACAAUGUUUACUUUGAACAAAUUAGAGUGCUCNNNAAGCAGGCUUUUAAAUCUGCCUAAAUAGUGGUGCAUGGAAUAAUGGAACAGGACCUUGGUUCUAUUUUGUUGGUUUUCGGAAUCCAAGGUAAUGAUCAAUAAGGACAGGCGGGGGCAUUCGUAUUGCGACGUUAGACUUGGCAAAUGCUUUCGCGGUGAAAUUCUUGGAUCGUCGCAAGACGCACUAGAGCGAAAGCAUUUGCCAAGUAUGUCUUAAUUGAUCAAGAACGAAAGUUAGAGGUUCGAAGGCGAUCAGAUACCGCCCUAGUUCUAACCAUAAACGAUGCCAGCCAGCGAUCCGCCGAUGUUCCUCCGAUGACUCGGCGGGGAGCUUUCCCCGGGAAACCAAAGCUUUUGGGUUCCGGGGGAAGUAUGGUUGCAAAGCUGAAACUUAAAGGAAUUGACGGAAGGGCACCACCAGGAGUGGAGCCUGCGGCUUAAUUUGACUCAACACGGGAAACCUCACCAGGCCCGGACAUUGGAAGGAUUGACAGAUCGAUAGCUCUUUCUCGAUUCAGUGGGUAGUGGUGCAUGGCCGUUC
rnacentral:rRNA from 1 species